rnacentral:lncRNA from 1 species
GUUAAAGAAACAUAUCAAGGGAAUAAUUUGGGACAAAAUCCAGAGCAAUAGAAUUCUCUGCUACAAUCUAGGCAGCAGUGCCUGGAUGUUUAAGUGUGUGUGUGUUAUAUUAUUUGUAUGUGCGUGUGUAUAUAGGGGGCGGGUGUCUUGUGUAUGUUGUAUGUAUGUGUGUCUGUGUGUAGGCCAGAGACUGACUUCCCUAAUCUGCACUCCAGAAUAGGGCUUCUGCUGCUAUUAUAGAUGGUAAUUGAACUCAGGACCUCUGGAAGAGUAGAUGGUGCUCUUAACUGCUGAACCACCUCCCCAGCCCCUUCACUUUGAUUUUUCAGGCAGGGUCUCUCCCUGAGCAUAGAGCUCCAAUUUGGCUAGGCUGGCUGGCCAGCACCCCCUGGGGGUCCUCCUGUCUCUGCCUCCCCAGCAUCGGAUUACAGGUACACACUAGCUAUCACAGGCACACACUAGCUAUCACAGGCACACACUACAUCUUCACAGGCCCACACUAGCUAUCACAGGCACACACUAGCUAUCACAGGCACACACUAGCUAUCACAGGCACACACUACAUCUAUCACAGGCACACACUAGCUAUCACAGGCACACACUAGCUAUCACAGGCCCACACUAGCUAUCACAGGCACACACUAGCUAUCACAGGCACACACUAACUGUCACAGGCCCACACUAGCUGUCACAGGCACACACUAGCUAUCACAGGCCCACACUAGCUAUCACAGGCACACACUAGCUAUCACAGGCACACACUAGCUAUCACAGGCACACACUACAUCUAUCACAGGCACACACUAGCUAUCACAGGCACACACUACAUCUUCACAGGCCCACACUAGCUAUCACAGGCACACACUAGCUAUCACAGGCACACACUAGCUAUCACAGGCACAUACUAACUGUCACAGGCCCACACUAGCUGUCACAGGCACACACUAGCUAUCACAGGCCCACACUAGCUAUCACAGGCACACACUAGCUAUCACAGGCACACACUAGCUAUCACAGGCAUACACUAACUGUCACAGGCCCACACUAGCUGUCACAGGCCCACACUAGCUAUCACAGGCCCACACUAACUGUCACAGGCCCACACUAGCUGUCACAGGCACACACUAGCUAUCACAGGCCCACACUAGCUAUCACAUGCACACACUAGCUAUCACAGGCACACACUACAUCUAUCACAGGCCCACACUAGCUAUCACAGGCCCACACUAGCUAUCACAGGCACACACUAGCUAUCACAGGUCCACAUUAGCUAUCACAGGCACACACUAGCUAUCAAUCACAGGCACAGGCCUUUUACAGAUGCUGAAGAUCUGAACUCAGACCCCCAGGCUUGUGCUGCAGGUACUUUUGCUAGGCUUAAGCUUGCUAAGUAGCUCAGGCUGGUUUUGAACUCCGGACUUCAACCUCUUUCAUGCUGGAAUUAUAGGAAUGUAGCAGUCCUUACGGCUUCACUUGGCCCUGUGACGCAGCUGAUUCAACACCACUUAAGUGGAGUCACUGGAUACAGCUUAGGCAAGCUCUACUGAGAACGACGCAGCCCACGCCUCCAGGGCUAGAGGACAAGUGUGUGGCGUGUUUGCAGAUGGCCAUCAAUUCGUGGCUGUGGGUCUUCAUCAGGCAGCCGGUGGGUCCUGCAUGCAUGGCCUCUCACUCACUGACAGCAGCAGUCUGUCACCCUGUGGAGAUGGCACAUGAGAGAUCUGCACUGGCAGGUGCAGAAGGCCCAGGUAAGCCGUGUGAGCAGGUGGCCUAGAUGCCUUCCAUGGCGGCUCUUGCUUCACUGACUCUUCCUGGGACCUCCGAGGUUGCUCCUUGGGAUCAAUUGGCUGAGAAGGAAUGAAUUCAAGCCUGGCUUACAGAUGGCACUGCAGGAUAUGCUGGCACCAACAGAAAGUGGGCAGCUGAAGCCCUCAGCCCACUCCAGGAGGACCUGCAUAACUUGGGUAACAGAAUGUCUUGCAGUGGGCAGAGCAUCAAGAGGCGCGCGUGUAUUUGUGUACUUGGCCUCAACUGAGAGACGGACGGAGGCAGGGAUCUACAAUGACUCGGCUGGCCAGUGAGGGAGGAAAACCACUGCUGUCAGGUGACCACCAGGCCUCAGGACAGAGGAUGUGUGUGACCGGAGCGCUCCAGAUAGGCACAGAAUGGGAAGAAGGAAAUUGUGUCACAGGUGUUUAUGAGUCAGCACUGAAAAAAUAAAAUAAAAUAAAAUAAAUGCCCGAGACAAUUAGGUUCAAAAGAAGAAAGGUAGGGGGAUCGAUGGCUCAGAGGUUAAGAGCACUGACUGCUUCUUGAGAGGUUCUGAGUUCAACUCCCAGCAACCAUGUGGUGGGUCGAACCCAUCUAUACUGGGGUCUGAUGCCCAAUUCUGGCAUGCAGGAAUACAUGCAAACAGAGCACUAUAUAGA